CCACUCGUAGCCUGGUGGUCAGAGCAGUGGUGCGUAAAGCCAAAGAUCCCGGGUUCAAUUCCCGGCGAGAGUG
rnacentral:tRNA from 1 species